AUGAACGCUGGCGGCGCGCCUAACACCUGCAAGUCGAACGAUUAAAGCACCUUCGGGUGUGUAUAAAGUGGCGAACGGCUGAGUAACACGUGGGCAACCUGCCCCUUUCAUUGGGAUAGCCACGGGAAACCGUGGAUAAUACCGAAUACUUCGAGACUUCCGCAUGGAAGACUCGAGAAAGCUCCGGCGGAGAGGGAUGGGCCCGCGGCCUGUUAGCUUGUUGGUGGGGUAACGGCCUACCAAGGCAAUGAUGGGUAGCUGGGUUGAGAGACCGACCAGCCAGAUUGGGACUGAGACACGGCCCAGACUCCUACGGGAGGCAGCAGUGGGGAAUCUUGCACAAUGGGCGAAAGCCUGAUGCAGCGACGCCGCGUGCGGGAUGAAGGCCUUCGGGUUGUAAACCGCUUUCAGCAGGGACGAGGCGAAAGUGACGGUACCUGCAGAAGAAGCCCCGGCUAACUACGUG
rnacentral:rRNA from 1 species